rnacentral:tRNA from 1 species
GACAGGAUGGCCGAGUGGUUAAGGCGCAGGCCUGCUACUAACCUACAAAUUAAGACUGUGGGUUCCACAAAUAGUAAGCCUGUGGGUUCGCCCGCGUGGGUUCGAAUCCCACUCCUGUCG